rnacentral:rRNA from 1 species
AGUGAACGCUGGCGGUAGGCCUAACACAUGCAAGUCGAACGGCAGCACAGUAAGAGUUUGCUCUUACGGGUGGCGAGUGGCGGACGGGUGAGGAAUACAACGGAAUCUACUUUUUCGUGGGGGAUAACGUAGGGAAACUUACGCUAAUACCGCAUACGACCUACGGGUGAAAGCAGGGGAUCUUCGGACCUUGCGCGAUUGAAUGAGCCGAUGUCGGAUUAGCUAGUUGGCGGGGUAAAGGCCCACCAAGGCGACGAUCCGUAGCUGGUCUGAGAGGAUGGUCAGCCACAUUGGAAGUGGGACACCCUCCAGACCACUGCGGGAGGGAGCAGUGGGGAAUAGGGGACAGUGGGCGCAAAUCUUCUACAACCCUACCGAGUGCGUCAAGAGGGCGCCCGGGUUGUAACGCCCUCUUGUUGGGAAAGAAACGCAGUAGCCUGACACGCCGCUGUUCUGACGGUACCCAAAGAAUAAGCACCGGCUAACUUCGUG